AAAUAAAUCAAAACUUUCAACAACGGAUCUCUUGGUUCUGGCAUCGAUGAAGAACGCAGCGAAAUGCGAUAAGUAAUGUGAAUUGCAGAAUUCAGUGAAUCAUCGAAUCUUUGAACGCACAUUGCGCCCGGUGGUAUUCCACCGGGCAUGCCUGUUCGAGCGUCAUUU
rnacentral:rRNA from 1 species